rnacentral:rRNA from 1 species
CCUACGGGUGGCAGCAGUGGGGAAUAUUGCACAAUGGGGGAAACCCUGAUGCAGCAACGCCGCGUGAGUGAAGAAGUAUUUCGGUAUGUAAAGCUCUAUCAGCAGGGAAGAAGAUGACGGUACCUGAGUAAGAAGCCCCGGCUAACUACGUGCCAGCAGCCGCGGUAAUACGUAGGGAGCAAGCGUUAUCCGGAUUUACUGGGGGUAACGGGAGCGUAGACGGUGCAGCAAGUCUGAUGUGAAAGGUCGGGGCCCAACCCCGGGACUGCAGUGGAAACUGUUGAACUGGAGUAAAGGUGAGGUAAGCGGAAUUCCUAGUGUAGCGGUGAAAGGCGUAGAUAUUAGGAGGAACACCAGUGGCGAAGGCGGCUUACUGGACUGUAACUGACGUGGAGGCUCGAAAGCGUGGGGAGCAAACAGGAUUAGAUACCCCUGUAGUC